AACGAACGCUGGCGGCAGGCCUAACACAUGCAAGUCGAGCGCGCCCUUCGGGGUGAGCGGCGGACGGGUGGGUAACGCGUGGGAACGUGCCCUUUUCUACGGAAUAGCCUCGGAAAACUGAGAGUAAUACCGUAUACGCCCUUUGGGGGAAAGAUUUAUCGGAAAAGGAUCGGCCCGCGUUGGAUUAGGUAGUUGGUGGGGUAAUGGCCUACCAAGCCGACGAUCCAUAGCUGGUUUGAGAGGAUGAUCAACCACACUGGGACUGAGACACGGCCCAGACUCCUACGGGAGGCAGCAGUGGGGAAUCUUAGACAAUGGGGGCAACCCUGAUCUAGCCAUGCCGCGUGAGUGAUGAAGGCCUUAGGGUUGUAAAGCUCUUUCAGCUGGGAAGAUAAUGACGGUACCAGCAGAAGAAGCCCCGGCUAACUCCGUG
rnacentral:rRNA from 1 species